GAUGAACGCUGGCGGCGUACCUAAUACAUGCAAGUCGAGCGAACAGACGAGGAGCUUGCUCCUCUGACGUUAGCGGCGGACGGGUGAGUAACACGUGGAUAACCUACCUAUAAGACUGGGAUAACUUCGGGAAACCGGAGCUAAUACCGGAUAAUAUAUUGAACCGCAUGGUUCAAUAGUGAAAGACGGUUUUGCUGUCACUUAUAGAUGGAUCCGCGCCGCAUUAGCUAGUGGGUAAGGUAACGGCUUACCAAGGCAACGAUGCGUAGCCGACCUGAGAGGGUGAUCGGCCACACUGGAACUGAGACACGGUCCAGACUCCUACGGGAGGCAGCAGUAGGGAAUCUUCCGCAAUGGGCGAAAGCCGGACGGAGCAACGCCGCGUGAGUGAUGAAGGUCUUCGGAUCGUAAAGCUCUGUUAUUAGGGAAGAACAAAUGUGUAAGUAACUAUGCACGUCUUGACGGUACCUAAUCAGAAAGCGACGGCUAACUACGUG
rnacentral:rRNA from 1 species